GUUGAACGCUGGCGGCAGGCCUAACACAUGCAAGUCGGACGAGCGGCGGACGGGUGAGUAAUGUAUAGGGAACUGGCUGAUGGGAGGGGAUCACUACUGGAAAAGGUAGCUAAAACCGCAAACCAUCAGUUGAACCCAUAUGGGAUUAGCUGGUAGGUGGGGUAACGGCUCACCUAGGCGACGAUCCCUAGCUGGUCUGAGAGGAUGAUCAGCAACACUGGGACUGAGACACGGCCCAUACUCCUACGGGAGGCAGCAGUGGGGAAUAUUGCACAAUGGGCGCAAGCCUGAUGCAGCCAUGCCGCGUGUAUGAAGAAGGCCUUCGGGUUGUAAAGUACUUUCAGUCGGGAGGCGUUACCGACAGAAGAAGCACCGGCUAACUCCGUGCCAGCAGCCGCGGUAAUAC
rnacentral:rRNA from 1 species